rnacentral:lncRNA from 1 species
CACAGCACUCACCCUUCUCAGGUUUUCCCUGGGGCUUUCUGAGAUGGAGAUCUAGUGGUUUAUGAAACAGUGAUCAAUCAGGUCUGCAUCAGGGACACCAAAUCAAUAAGAUGGGACAACUGACUUCUGGCAGGAAAAAAGGAGACAAAAAUUCAUUAAACCAUUGUCAGUUGGUGAAGAGGAAGAAGCAUAAAAGAAUGAUUCACUGUGGGAGGAGAAUGUUCCCAAGCUGUAACUUGAAAGGAUGAAGAGGGAUGUCUGAGCCCGUGGACAGGGACUGUGGUGAGUCAGUAUACUAGGUCCACCCAGCCCUUUGUCUCCCUAAGUACAGUUUGCAAUCAAAGCCAAAUUGAAAAAAAUAGCUGUCCUUGGGGUUUCAGG